rnacentral:rRNA from 1 species
AGUGAACGCUGGCGGUAGGCCUAACACAUGCAAGUCGAACGGCAGCACAGUAAGAGCUUGCUCUUACGGGUGGCGAGUGGCGGACGGGUGAGGAAUACAUCGGAAUCUACUUUUUCGUGGGGGAUAACGUAGGGAAACUUACGCUAAUACCGCAUACGACCUACGGGUGAAAGCAGGGGAUCUUCGGACCUUGCGCGAUUGAAUGAGCCGAUGUCGGAUUAGCUAGUUGGCGGGGUAAAGGCCCACCAAGGCGACGAUCCGUAGCUGGUCUGAGAGGGUGAUCAGCCACACUGGAACUGAGACACGGUCCAGACUCCUACGGGAGGCAGCAGUGGGGAAUAUUGGACGAUGGGCGCAAGCCGGAUCCAGCCAUACCGCGUGGGUGAAGAAGGCCUUCGGGUUGUAAAGCCCUUUUGUUGGGAAAGAAAAGCAGCAGGUUAAUACCCCGCUGUUCUGACGGUACCCAAAGAAUAAGCACCGGCUAACUUCGUG